UGUUUAAAAUAUAUUAAAUUGCAAAUUUAAUUAUUCAAUAAAAUUGAUUAAACAU
rnacentral:tRNA from 1 species